UCCUUCAACAACAACAGCUCGUCACACACCUCAGUAGCUUUCUAGCAAAUAUAGCUACAACAUUCACGUUCUUUACACUGUUUUCGUUUAUAUUAGUCGCUGUGUAUUAAGCACACUUCUGUUGUAUGUACUUGUUGGCCCAUUUAAUUAUAUAGUUACGUUGUUUGUCAGCAAGCUGGUUUGCUAAAUUAGCUUAGAACAUCUCCGACCACGAGUUCACUAAUCUGCUCUCCUCCUGAUAAAGAAGAGGAGGUCUGCUGGACGGAGGAAGAAGCUCGCGUCAAAGAGGAGGAGGAAGAGGAGGCUGUUACAAUACAAAAUCAAGUAGAGGUUGAGGAUGUACAGUAAAAUAAGAAGAGGAAGAGAAAGAGGAGGAUGCCGUUUUUGGAGUGAAAGAGGAGGAGGAGGGGGAGAUUACUGUCACAUUGAAAGAGGAGGAAGAAGAAGAGGAUGUUGGAGAUCUGUUUAACACCAGAGAGAGAGAUGUGACUAUCGUGGAUACACUGGGGAGCCUCAACAACAACAUGAUGCUGACAUGGCAGAGAAGACAUCAAAGACAUCACACAAGAGAGAAACCAUAUGGCUGUGCUCAAUGUGGGAAGAGUUUUGUUAAAUCUAGCUAUCUAACGAUACACCAGAGAACACACACAGGAGUGAAACCAUAUAGCUGUAAUCAGUGUGGGAAGAGUUUUUCUACAUCUGGCUCUCUAACAAAACACUGGAGAACACACACAGGAGAAAAACCAUAUAGCUGUAAUCAAUGUUGGAAGAGUAUUUCUUCUUCUUGCUAUCUAACUAUACACCAUAGAACACACAGAGAAGAAAAUCCGUGCUUUGAUCAAUGUGGGAAGAUUUUUUCUACUUCUAGCUAUCUAACUAUACACCAGAGAACACACACAGGAGAGAAACCUGUGGUCAAUGUGGGAAGAUUUUUACUCGGCCAAACAGCCUGAAUAUACACAAGCUGACACACACAGGGGAAGAGAUACUCUGAUAAAGAUCUCUGAUUAAACAUAAAAUACAUGAAGCAGUUGUUUCAUGAUAUUAAUGAAAUAAUGUCACAAUGUAGAAUGUUUUAACAUUGUAGUAGGAGUAUGUUAAUGAUGUCACAAUGUAGAAGCCUAAACGUUUGUCCCCUGUUCUAUUGAUUUCAGCAUGAUAUGAUAUUAGCCUCAGGGUGAAAAUCCAGGCUUUGAAUUGAGAGUACUAUUUAUAUGAUUUAACAAAAAGUGACUAACAAAAAAGAGUUGUUACACUUACCACGUUGGUGACCCACUUGAAUCAAAAUGCAACACUUCAAAAUGUAGCGAUCUGUUUUCUACAAGUUGUCCUCUAACCAGGGAUGUACACAUUAUUCCCAGAUUCCAUGUGGUUUUUGAGUUGUUAGUUUUAACAGGACGUGCAACCUCCUCUCGGCACAAUUGAUUUCAACAUGAUAUCGCUGAGUGAUGACAAAUAAGUGUUGCGUUCCUUUGUUUAACGACCCCUAAAUUUAAAUGUAUCACUCCAAAUUGUAGCUGACUGUCUUCUGCAGCUUGUCCUCUAACCAGUGAGGUAAAAGAUAUCUCCCAUUUCCAUGUGUUUGUUUUAGUACCAACAGGACGAACAACCUGAUUUCCCCCAUAAUUGAUAUCAGUGAUUUAUUGCUACUUGUCAAAACAACAGCGUUUCUGGCGCUUGUGCAGUUUAUGAGAUGCUUGUUAAGUUAUAUGAUUAUUGUGGCAGAUGUUUGCGUAUAUAAUAAAUUUUACCCCAAACUG